ACCUGGCUUUACAAUGUUGGCGGUGAUGUAAUAGCUUUAGAAAAUAGUGUUAUUUUCAAGCGUCGCCGUGUAUGUCACUUGCAUUUUGAAAGCCGCUUCCAUACUAGAAGUAAAUUCCUGAGUGACAAUGCUAUACCUACACUCUGCUUGUCAGGGUCCCAAUUAAGAAGACCACUAAUGGAUGUGACGAAUCAACCUGGCCCCAGUAGUGAGAAUAUUGCAAUGCUGCGACCACAGUCAAAUGUCCCAAACACAUCACAGCUACAGAACAACACUUUGUGUAAUCGAAGAAAAGCAGUUAAAAAGACUAGCGAACAUGAAAAGGAUUUGGCCAAAAAAAUUGUCCAGUUAAAAAAACAAAAUGACUCCUAUUUGAAGAGACUCAAAAAAGCUCAGAA